CCAGCCCACGCCAGCUGCAAAUCCUGCGAUUCCUUCAUGCCUAGCAGGUCAAACAUGGCUGACUUUUCUCAAAAAAAAAAGGUCAAACAUGGCUGACUCGAAUCAUGGUAAGAUGUGGAAUGUACUAAUUCUCAAAAAAAAAAAAACCCGUACAUGCCAAACAAUCUUAGUAUCCUUGUUAAAGAUAUGGAGUAAAUUAAUUACGAGUUGAAUGUAUGUGUAUUGGGAUGACUGCAAUCCAAUGUAUCUCAAAGUUUGGUACCAGUGUCUGCCCGAUUGCCCAAGCCCCAGGGCAACCCUUUACACAACGCUUGUCGUUAGGCCAGUUUUAAUGGAGUUUCACGAGAAGUUUCAUGCACAUUAAAUAUGGCCACACCAG
rnacentral:lncRNA from 1 species